UACGAAGGGGGCUAGCGUUGCUCGGAAUCACUGGGCGUAAAGGGUGCGUAGGCGGGUCUUUUAAGUCAGGGGUGAAAUCCUGGAGCUCAACUCCAGAACUGCCUUUGAUACUGAAGAUCUUGAGUCCGGGAGAGGUGAGUGGAACUGCGAGUGUAGAGGUGAAAUUCGUAGAUAUUCGCAAGAACACCAGUGGCGAAGGCGGCUCACUGGACCGGUAUUGACGCUGAUGUGCGAAAGCGUGGGGAGCAAACAGG
rnacentral:rRNA from 1 species